GAUGAACGCUGGCGGCGUGCCUAACACAUGCAAGUCGAACGGGAAGUGCUUUCGGGUACUUCUAGUGGCGCACGGGUGAGUAACACGUAGCUUACCUGCCCCGGACAGCGGGAUAACGGGUCGAAAGACCUGCUAAUACCGCAUAAGCUCACGCUGAAUAGGAAGGUGUGAGAAAAGAUUUAUCGGUUCGGGAGGGGGCUGCGGCCCAUCAGAUGGUUGGUGAGGUAAUGGCUCACCAAGUCGAAGACGGGUAGGGGGCCUGAGAGGGUGACCCCCCACACUGGGACUGAGACACGGCCCAGACUCCUACGGGAGGCAGCAGUGAGGGAUAUUGCUCAAUGGGCGCAAGCCUGAAGCAGCGACGCCGCGUGGGUGAUGAAGGUCUUCGGAUCGUAAAACCCUUUUGCAGGUGACGAGGAAGGACGGUAGCCUGUGAAGAAGUGUCGGCUAACUACGUGCCAGCAGCCGCGGUAAAACGUAGGACGCAAGCGUUAUCCGGAAUUACUGGGCGUAAAGCGCGUGUAGGUGGUUUUAUAAGUCACUGUUGAAAGCUCCCGGCUAAACUGGGAGAGGUGCGGUGAGACUGUAGAGCUAGAGUUUGGGAGAGGGGUGCGGAAUUCCGGGUGUAGUGGUGAAAUGCGUAGAGAUCCGGAGGAACACCAGAGGCGAAGGCGGCACCCUGGCCUAAUACUGACACUGAGACGCGAAAGCAUGGGGAGCGAACGGGAUUAGAGACCCCGGUAGUCCAUGCCGUAAACGAUGCAAACUAGAUGUGUGUGACCCUACGGGGUUGUGCGCGUCGCAGCUAACGCGAUAAGUUUGCCGCCUGGGGAGUACGGUCGCAAGGCUA
rnacentral:rRNA from 1 species